UUCGAAGUCUAGUGACUCUGAAUGUGACA
rnacentral:piRNA from 1 species